rnacentral:rRNA from 1 species
ACGACCAUACCCACUGGAGAACUCGGGAUCCCGUCCGCUCUCCCAUAGAUAAGCCAGUGAGGGCCGGAUUAGUAGUCGGGUCGGUGACGACCAGCGAAUACCUGGUGUUGUAUGUU